rnacentral:rRNA from 1 species
GUAGGCAUGUAUCUUAGGCAAAUCCGGGGUACUCUAUGCUGAGAUCUGAUAGCAAGCUGUACUUGUACAGCGAAGUGGUUGAUGCCAUGCUUCCAGGAAAAGUCUCUAAGCUUCAGUUACACAGGAAUCGUACCCGAAACCGACACAGGUGGUCAGGUCGAGUAGACCAAGGCGCUUGAGAGAACUCUGCUGAAGGAACUAGGCAAAAUGGUACCGUAACUUCGGGAGAAGGUACGCUGUUGUUGGUGAUGGAACUCGCUUCCUGAGCUGACGACAGCCGCAGAAACCAGGCCGCUGCAACUGUUUAUUAAAAACAUAGCACUCUGCAAACACGAAAGUGGACGUAUAGGGUGUGAUGCCUGCCCGGUGCUGGAAGGUUAAUUGAUGGGGUUAGCGUAAGCGAAGCUCUUGAUCGAAGCCCCAGUAAACGGCGGCCGUAACUAUAACGGUCCUAAGGUAGCGAAAUUCCUUGUCGGGUAAGUUCCGACCUGCACGAAUGGCAUAAUGAUGGCGGCGCUGUCUCCAGCAGAGGCUCAGUGAAAUCGAAAUCGCUGUGAAGAUGCAGUGUACCCGCGGCUAGACGGAAAGACCCCGUGAACCUUUACUGCAGCUUGACACUGAACUUUGACCUUACUUGUGUAGGAUAGGUGGGAGGCUUUGAAGCUGGAACGCUAGUUCCAGUGGAGCCGUCCUUGAAAUACCACCCUGGUAAUGUUGAGGUUCUAACUCUGUCCCGUGAUCCGGGACGAGGACCGUGUCUGGUGGGUAGUUUGACUGGGGCGGUCUCCUCCUAAAGAGUAACGGAGGAGUACGAAGGUGCGCUCAGCGUGGUCGGAAAUCACGCGUAGAGUAUAAAGGCAAAAGCGCGCUUAACUGCGAGACCCACAAGUCGAGCAGGUACGAAAGUAGGUCUUAGUGAUCCGGUGGUUCUGUAUGGAAGGGCCAUCGCUCAACGGAUAAAAGGUACUCUGGGGAUAACAGGCUGAUACCGCCCAAGAGUUCAUAUCGACGGCGGUGUUUGGCACCUCGAUGUCGGCUCAUCUCAUCCUGGGGCUGAAGCAGGUCCCAAGGGUAUGGCUGUUCGCCAUUUAAAGAGGUACGCGAGCUGGGUUUAGAACGUCGUGAGACAGUUCGGUCCCUAUCUACCGUGGGCGCUGGAAAUUUGAGAGGAUCUGCUCCUAGUACGAGAGGACCAGAGUGGACGAACCUCUGGUGUACCGGUUGUGACGCCAGUCGCAUCGCCGGGUAGCUAUGUUCGGAAGGGAUAACCGCUGAAAGCAUCUAAGCGGGAAGCCUACCUCAAGAUAAGAUUUCCCUAGGACUUUAUGUCCUCUAAAGAGCCGUUCGAGACUAGGACGUUGAUAGGUUGGAUGUGGAAGCAUAGUGAUAUGUGAAGCUGACCAAUACUAAUUGCUCGUGAGGCUUGACUAU